rnacentral:rRNA from 1 species
CAGCCGUAAACUAUGCGCGUUAGGUGUAUCGGUGACCACGAGUUACCGAGGUGCCGAAGGGAAACCGUGAAACGUGCCGCCUGGGAAGUACGGUCGCAGGGCUGAAACUUAAAGGAAUUGGCGGGGGAGCACCACAACAGGUGGAGCCUGCGGUUUAAUUGGACUCAACGCCGGGAAGCUCACCGGAUAGGACAGCAGAAUGAUUGCCGGGCUGAAGACCCUGCAUGACUAGCUGAGAGGAGGUGCAUGGCGUAGACGUCU